rnacentral:rRNA from 1 species
GACAGAGGGUGCAAACGUUGUUCGGAAUUACUGGGCGUAAAGCGCGUGUAGGCGGCUCGGCAAGUCGGGUGUGAAAGCCCUGGGCUUAACCUAGGAAGUGCACUCGAAACUGCCAAGCUUGAGUUCUGGAGAGGAAGGCGGAAUUCUCGGUGUAGAGGUGAAAUUCGUAGAUAUCGAGAGGAACACCGGUGGCGAAGGCGGCCUUCUGGACAAAAACUGACGCUGAGACGCGAAAGCGUGGGGAGCAAACAGG